AGCAGCACUGCCUGGCCUUUAAGGAGGACUAGAAAAGGAGGAGGAAGAGGAAGAGUAGGAGGAAGAAGAGGAAGAAGAGGAAAAAGAGGAGGACACAGCUGGGAGAACAAGAAAUUAUUUAAACGGUUGUGUGUAUCUGUGCAUGUUAGUACAGGUGUCAGUGGAGACCAGAAGAGCACACUGGAUCUCUUGGAGCAGGAGUUACAGAUGGUUGUGAACUUUAAAUUCAACUGAAGUCCUUUGGAAGAACAGAGCAUGCUCCUGGCUACCUAGCCAUCUUUCUACCCCUGAGACGAGUGCUUUCUUGAAAACAACUUCUACUGGACAUAAGGCCUCCUCUGUCAGUCCUCAAGAACCUGACCAGAGCUGCACCCCUGUGCCUGUCAUUAGGGAGCUUGCUUAGCAGCAGAGGAAUCCUAGUCCUUCACACCUCUGGUGUGAAGUCCUACUGUGCCAAGUGGGCUUCCUAGGAGCAGUUUCUAGCCAAGUCUCCAUAUGCUUGGUGGGCGGGUGUGGAAACCCGGGUAAGGCUUGGCAGGAGAUCUGCAGAGGGAGCUGUUACAACCCAAACAGUCACUGUGUGCACAAUGCUUCACUCACACGUCUCUUCCAUAUGCCUGGAACCAGUUACUGGAAACUGCAAGACUCUGUGCAACCCCUCAAAAUGACAGAGAAAGUGCCUGGGACUCACGGGACAACUUGGUCUAAUGUCUCCUAGGCAUCCUAAAAGCCACUGAGUAUUUAAAUUAUCAUACAGAGGGAAAUAUACCCAGGUCAGUCCUUCCACUAUUGGACUGAAAUAAAGAUUUUUGGUUGCCCGACUUCUUAGCAUUCAGGACUUGCUCUGGAUGUGACAACUCUCUUUCCUUCUGAUGAGUUUCCAGUCCAACGUCAGAUGCGGUCUGGAAGGAAGCAUUUCUCACAAGCCAAGUGUGAGGACACGUGCUCCGUGCGAGCCACAGCCUUUGGACUCCAUUCUGGACUUUGACUGCUGCGUGGAGUAAGGCUGGAACUAGAGAGAUGUCACUGUGCUGACUCACACUGCACAUGCUCCCAGACAGUGAGCGGGAUCCCCACUGAGGAGUGCAAGGCUCAAGCUGAUAGAACCUGGCCACUGGCUCUGCAGUGGAAGAGAAGGUAGCAAGGACAACCACAGGAGCCCCCCUCCCCAGUUCUUCGGGGUCUGCCUCUCUCUCCCCUCCCUGCUGUGGACCACCUCUGUUGCCUGCUGCCAAGGAGCCCUCCUGCCAGCCCAGCUUUCUUUGCUCCAUCCUCCAGAGCCCUAGAUUCCUGGGUCUCACCCACAGUAGAUGCUGGGCCAGAUUUUCCCUGCCUCUGUUGACUUCCGUCCCUGGGCACUCUGUGCAGCUACGUGUGAAUGGAUGAGUGUAAGAGAGAGGACCCAGGAGGCAAAGAGAGAAAUGAGCGUAUGAAGGGCCGAGUGCUUAGCUGAUGAACACUGAACUUCUGAGACUUAAAAUAUUCCAGAAUGUUCUCCCCUUCAGCUGGACGAUGUUACUAUAGGAUCUUUAGACCCUUUGAGAAAAUGAGAAUAUUCCUAUUGUGAA
rnacentral:lncRNA from 1 species